UUCUCAGGACCCUCCGCGGGCAUCAUUGCUGGCCUGGUUCUCCUUGGAGCUGUGCUCACUGGAGCUGCGGUGUCUGCAGCUGUGAUGUGGAGGAAGAAACACUCAGGGAGACAAAGAGGAAGUUAUACUCCCCCUCUAGUGAGCGACAGCCUUGUGUUGGCCUGAGUGUUACAGGAUUUCUUUUUGCCCACAUUUUGUGGCGUUAUGAUCUCCUGGUUUAAACCACUUCACACCUGCGAGAAUGGCCCACAUCCAAAAGACCAGAAACAAGUGCUGGUAAAGAUAUGGAAAAAAGGGACAGUCCUUCAUUGUGUUUGGAAUAUAAACUGACCCAAACCUUCUGGAAACAGUAUUGAGGUUUCUUAAAAGAAGGAAUCUAGAAAACUUAAAUAAGGGACCAGGAAAACGAAUAUCUAUAAGAAAGUGAAAAUCAAAAUCAACAAAAAACUACGA